rnacentral:piRNA from 1 species
UGAGGUUAGGAUCAGCCAAGGAGUUUAC